GGAGGCUGAGGCAUGAGAAUCGCUUAAACCUCGGAGGCGGAGGCUGCAAUGAGCUGAGAUGGUGCCACUGCACUCCAGCCUGGGUGACAGAGCUGGGUGGUGGCUCAAGAUAUGUUUUGUAAACCUGAAGAUUUGAGAUCAUAUAAGCCAAAUCGAAACUUAAUUGGCAUUCAUAACUUUUGGUUCUAGAGACUCCAUGAUCAACUAAGAGCCACCAAACAUUUCCCAUGUAGACUAUUUUGACCAUGCUGACUCUACUGACACUGUGGUUACUGAAUUCACUUUAUCUCUAGAAAUUAAUUCUUACUAAUGGAUGUCUGUCACUGUAAGAUCCUUCUCUCCUCUGAAAUAAGGAGAACAUUUUAACUUCAGUAGUUUAAACUAGUGUCCUAAACUAUAGCAUUCAAAAUGAGAUAAUAUGCUAAAGUAAUACACAAACCAAAAAUCCCAGUGGCUAACACAAAAAGUUUUUCUUAUUCAUUUUACAUAUCCAGGGUAAGUCAGUAAUAGACGCAGACACACCCAGAGACCAAGGAUGAGUUGUGAUCUGUCUGCACACAUAGUUCACAAUGCCUGAACUUGCUAUAAUUCUGUGAGAGAGCUAUAAAAGUCUGCUCAGAAACAUUAUAAUGUAAAAUGGACAGAGAAGGACAAUGAGAUAUUUAAUUUGCCACGGCAAAGCCAUUGCUGUGAAGAAUGGAUAAUAUAUGUCAAUGGUAAUAUAUGAAGAAAUAACACAGGUGAAUAGCAGAGGCAAUAAAUCUGUUUUUACCACAGGACUUGUCUUACACUUUUCUCUUAGUAAUAAAUAAAAUAAUUUUCGACCAGAUGGAGCUGGCUUGAAAUCCUCUUGUUUAUGGCAGUACAUAUCGGUUAUGAUUCAAAAAAUAUAGCCCAUUUCCAAAAACCUGCAACAAAGAGAUACUUUCUCAGGUGAGUGUUCAGAUCAUUAUUCAUUACAAAGUGUCAGUUUUGUCUUUAUUGAUCCUCAUUAUUGUAAGAAAGUAUGUGGUCCUGUCUCCAUUCUAUUAAAACAACAUUGUAGAGAUUAGCACUGAGUCUUUCCAGCCAUGUGCAUCUGUUCAUUUCCAUCUCCAGCUUGAGUUUUUCUGUGUAUUACAAAAUAAGAAAACAAAAAUGACACAAUAAUCUAUUUUGUCUGGUUUUGCUCUUUAUUAGUAGAAAUAGACAAGUGAGGAGUUGGAGGAAGAAAUUGCUUCUGAUCUGUUUUAGAUACAGGUGAAACUCUCCCUCCCUCCCCGCCCUACCCAGUCUUUCUCUGUCUCCCUCCCUGAGCCUAUUCUUGCUUCUUCCCUUUACAAAUAAUUAACUGCUCAGGUCAUGUUGAACCAAAAAAUAGCGUCUGUAGCCCCUGUGUGCUUACUUUAAGUAUAUGUUACUGAAAAAUGCGGAGUGAGCACUUAACAACUCAUUCUCCUGGGAAACACAGUGCUACUAUACCCCAAAUGCUUUUCUUUAUCAUUUUAAUUUUUAUCUUCUUUACUUACAUUUCCAACAUCAGUUAAGAGGGUCUUGUAGUUUUCUAACUGAAAGGAGACUGUAAAAUCUCCUUGCUCAAAACUCAGAUGCAGAAUAUUAUUUUUACUACAAUAAAUACAUCUACAACAAUGGUAUUAUAUCUGGUUUAUUUCAAAGUCAAGUUCUAAUACAGGUAAACAAAUAUACUAAUAAAGAGAUAAUGCUUUUCUCAUGAAAUGUAUAAUCUAGUAGGAAUAAAGAUAAACAAUUUUUUUAAAAAUUCUAUUUCAUUAAGCAAAAAUGCAACUCAGAAGAAUAAUGUAUAUUAGCAGUCAUUUACUAUUUUUCAAUUAAAUUCCGAUAUAUAUGUAAAGUAAAUUAUUACUAAUAUCAAACAUAGUUUAAAGAAUUAGUGACUAUGUGCACUUGGAUCUCCAUAUGUAAUGUACUAUCAGCAUCUUCACAAACACAGUAAAUUUUAAUAGGCAAGUAAAACUUAUUUUACUAAACGAUGAUUACUCCUUCUAUAUUCAUAUUCCUAAACACAUACAGUUUCUUAAUGUAAUUAAGUUUUUAACUAAAAAAAGGGAAAUGCAUUAUUGAGGCGAUAGGAUUACUGGGUGGCUAUAAACACAUCUGCUGCACAGCUGACAUUUAUCUUCUACAAUGAGCAGUGACAAUUUUAUUUUUUAAUAAUCAGUAUGGACUAAUCCUGAUGAUUUUUUUUAACAUUUUCAAAUAGGGCUGCAUAUGGCUUAAAAUUAAUAUAUACAUGUGUACCUAUAUAAUAUUCUUAUUUAUUAAUGGACUUCCUACAUAGCUCAUAUUGACGUUAGAUUUAAAUGAAAUUCCAGAAGGGUUUUCUAUAGGUAAGUCAUACAUUGGAUUUCCAUAUUACCUAUGAUUAUCGAAGUAUUUAUUUCUGUUUUUAAGACUUCAGAGCAAUUUUGCUGGUCAUUUGUUUUCUGUGUUUUUAUUUUGAAAUUGUUCUUUGAGGCAUUGUCCUAUUACAUUUUUAAGGUAUGUUAAUAAAAUAAUAUUUUUAAUGAAAUUUUGCCUACUGCUUUCCAGGUGAACUCUUGUUUAAAGUAUUAAUUCACCAAAAAUUACUUAUAUUCAGAAAAUGAACUAAAAAAAAUAAUAUGACGUGUUCAAGAAAGUCGAACAAAAGUUACGUGAUGUUUGCAACAUACACAACUCCAUACCCUUCUCAAAUAGUAAAGAGAAUAGUAAGUAGAAUAGGUAGUAAGCAGAGUAGGAAUUGUGGAAUAUGGAACUCUCAGUCACUCAAUUGACUUUAUUUUCUAGUAAUACGGGAUUUGAAUUAUUCAAGCUGAAGCCAUUAAAUAUUCAUAGUGCUUCGUAUUAUAAAGUUAUUGAUUAAUGUCUUUGGUAAAGAACACUAUUAUUUCUGAUUACAUCAAGGUCAUCCCGAGGAACAGGACCAAAGCAUAAAGUUUUAUAUAUGAAAUAUGAGAAGUUAAUACAUAAUUCAUAUUUAACAGAUAACAUAAAUGUUAACCCCUUGGAGAAUCUGAAGCUAAUACCCAUGUUCUUCUGGCAAUUCUUUAUACUGGCAAUUUGGAAAAUGCCAGUGUUUUAUCGCUACCUAUUCUUGUAUUAUGACAUGAAUUAAUACAUAUCUGCCUCACUAUUCCUGUGGGCAAAAAAAGACUGUGAAUUAUGUGCCAGAGAGAGAUUUUACAAAAUUAAAUGAGGCAAAGUACUUUUCCUCUGUAUACUCAUUAGAAAUAUGCUGAGUAGUUCCUUUCCGUUCCUUUCACUUUCCGAUAAAAUAUAAUCAGUUCAGCCAUAUAACAGAUAUCUUUUAAACUUUUAAUGUCCUCUGUUAGAAUGAAUAUGAUAUUUGGGACCAAUUCACAUUUUGGAAUAAUGUACAUACUAAGCAUAAGUGAAGAAUUUAAACAUUAACUUGAUUUAGGACUGGACUCUUAAGAGGUUUUAAAAAGUUGAAAAACGGAAUUCCAACAAAUUUAAAUGGCUUGUUUAGGGUUUCCACAGGCAAUACGGGUGGGUGCAAUGGAAAGAGAAUUCCUUUAAUCUAAACGUGGGCUUUAUUCUGGCUCUGCCACAUAUUGACUGUUUCAUACAAAUGUAACUUAAACUGCAGGUGUCAUGAUUUUUCACACAUAUACAAAUAAAACAAUGUUGAUUAUAUAGGAUUUGUUGAGAAAAUGCAAUUAUGCCAAGUACAAGUAUUUGGCCUAUUAUCUCACUUUAUAAAUAUUAGCAAUUCUUUUUGUGGAGGGAAUAAAUCUAACAUGCUGGCUUUUAGAAUUUCUUCUUAUUUUUCUUUCAACUUUAUUGCCAUGUAACAUCUUUAAGUCAAUAAAUCUGACAAUUAGACUGUGGGUAAUUUUCUUCCAAAUCCAUAUCUUGUUUUCUCUAUCCAUAGUAGCAUUUUAAAACAACAGAAGGGAACUUUAAUUACAGUAGGUUGGGAGCCAUUUUCUCCCUUUGGUCAUAUUUUCAUUGAAAUUCCUACAUUGUUUAAUAUUAGGACUUAGUUUGAAUAUCACAUCAACAAGGUUGCUCAAUAGAAAUAUUAUGGAAUCAUUUUUCUGUCAUGCCACAGAACUUAUUAACUGUAUGUUCAAAAUGCAGCUCAAUUCUGAUCAUUUUUGCUACUUUCACCACUAGCAUCCUGGUGCUAACCACCAUCAUUUAUUGCCCAGGUUAUUGAAAUGGCCAGCAAACAGGUGUUUCUGAUUCUGCGUAAGGCACCCUUCAGUACAUCCUCAAAAGAGCAAUUUGUAUAAUCACUUUAAAACAUGUAUCAGGUUAUUACCUUUUUCUGUGUAAAACUCUGAUCUCUCGUUUCAUUCAUUGUAAAAGUCAGAGUCUUGCACAAUGCUUUAUAGAUGCUCCACCACAUGAAGCCCCCAAUUCUUCUAUGGACUUCCCUCCUUCCACUAUGUAAUUUUCUCACUCAGCUUCACGUACAGUAUUUUCUUGGUUAUUACUAAACAUGCAACAGAUACGGUUUGUUCUAUAUCUUCCUCAUGCUUUUGGUCAGAUGCCAUUAUCCCAGUGAGGUUUUCCAUAGCCACUUUAUUCAAAUUCCAAACAAUCUGUCCCCUUAGACAUUCUCCAUUCUUAAUUUUUUGCCAUUGUACUUACUACAGUCUAACACACUAUACAUGUUACAUUUUUGCUUAUUGUUUAUUGUAUAGUCCCUAGAAUAUUAGUUCCCUGAGGACAGAGAUUUCUGUAAGCUUUUCCAAAGAUGUAUCCCCAAAGCCCGGAAUGCUACCUGGCAACAAAUACUUGUUAUAAUGAAUUAGAAGUGGGUAGAUUCACACAUCAGAGACAGCGUAGUGUAUAUAAUGAUUUUUUAAAGCAUUAGAGUCAUAGAUAUUAGGAUUUGUAUUAUGUCUUCACCAUUUACAAUUAUGCUACCCUCAACAAGUUGUUUAAUCUUUCCAUUCCUCAGUUUCCUCAUGACUCAUAUAUUGGAAAUAUUGUCUACCUUAGAGCUCUUCCAAGAGUAAUAUUGAGACAAUGUUUCAACAAUGUUUAGCACAUUGCUGAAUAUUAAUACAUUAUUUCUAUUAAUGUAAGAAAUUUCAUAGACUUGCUAGAAAUAACGAGGAUGGAAUAUAGAUGAAGAUCAUAAAACAUGAUGGAAAUAAAUGUUGGAAAAUGUGGGUGGUAUCCUUAGCACACUCUCUAACGUAAGGAGUAAAAUCUGUGUCAUAUGACUUUAUCUUUCUUCUGGAAACUAACGGAAUUUAGUAACACACUUUUCUUGACCUGAGGAUUUGCCCUUACCACAAAAUUGUUUUUGAAACUUGAGUGUUUACAAUGGCUUUUUACCAGUUCUUUUAUGUUCUACCAGUUCCUCUCCAAUUUACUAUGGACUGAAGUCAGACUAAUUUGUUAAGAGCAAACAAAACAAAACAAAACAAAACAGUUAUUACCUCAUUCUAGCCUCAAAGCAUCUGCCUUUUCAAUGCAAUCAAAAUUAAAUGCAA